GAGUAAUGCGUGACCAACCUGCCCCAUGCUCCAGAAUAGCUCUUGGAAACGGGUGGUAAUGCUGGAUGCUCCAACUUGACGCAUGUCUUGUUGGGAAAGUGUUUAGUGGCAUGGGAUGGGGGUCGUGUCCUAUCAGCUUGUAGGCGGGGUAAUGGCCCACCUAGGCUUCGACGGGUAGCCGGCCUGAGAGGGCGGACGGCCACAUUGGGACUGAGAUACGGCCCAGACUCCUACGGGAGGCAGCAGAG
rnacentral:rRNA from 1 species